rnacentral:rRNA from 1 species
AACGAACGCUGGCGGCAGGCCUAACACAUGCAAGUCGAGCGCCCUUUCGGGGGAGCGGCGGACGGGUGAGUAACGCGUGGGAAUAUGCCCUUCUCUACGGAAUAGCCUCGGGAAACUGAGAGUAAUACCGUAUACGCCCUGUGGGGGAAAGAUUUAUCGGGGAAGGAUUAGCCCGCGUUGGAUUAGGUAGUUGGUGGGGUAAUGGCCUACCAAGCCGACGAUCCAUAGCUGGUUUGAGAGGAUGAUCAGCCACACUGGGACUGAGACACGGCCCAGACUCCUACGGGAGGCAGCAGUGGGGAAUCUUAGACAAUGGGGGCAACCCUGAUCUAGCCAUGCCGCGUGAGUGAUGAAGGCCUUAGGGUUGUAAAGCUCUUUCAGCUGGGAAGAUAAUGACGGUACUAGCAGAAGAAGCCCCGGCUAACUCCGU